rnacentral:rRNA from 1 species
UACAGAGACUGCAAGCGUUAUUCGGAUUCACUGGGCGUAAAGGGUGCGCAGGCGGCCAAGUGUGUGAGGCGUGAAAGCCCGGGGCUUAACUCCGGAAUUGCACCUCAAACUACAUGGCUAGAGCAUUGGGGAGGGUAGCAGAAUUCACGGUGUAGCAGUGAAAUGCGUAGAUAUCGUGAGGAAUACCAGAGGCGAAGGCGGCUACCUGGACAAUUGCUGACGCUCAGGCACGAAAGCGUGGGGAGCAAAAGGG